UUUCAGUGGAUCCACUUGAAAAAUCUUGAAAAUUUUGUAAUUAAAAAAAGAAAAUUCCAUUUUUUCUUUUCCGAGAAUCUUGCGACACAGAUUUAACAACAUUGGGAACGCAAAAUCGCACCGGCGCCCAACAAGAUCCUCUAAGGUAUAACAACACCGGGAGGAAAAGGGAAAUCCCGAAAGCUCCUUCAUCUCCGACUCGGAGACGCUAAUGCCAAACACAGAACUCCAAUUGCUGUGGCGUAUUUAAUCCAAAGAUGACAGAAAACGGAGGCAACAUGCUAAGCAAAAAGCAAAAAAGGUCCAAUAUCUCAGUUAAUCUUGUUAGUUUUGGUAUUAUCCUUUGGCCAUGCAUUUUGGAUUUGGUUUAAUUAAAUUUUGCUAGUAUAUAUAUACUCUUUUGCUUCUCUAUCUAAUUGAAGGGUGAAAAGAGAACUUGAAGAUCUGUGUGAACGCUUGAAACAGAAAUAUCUGAAGAUGAAUAUUCCAGUUAAUGUCAAUAAUUAUGAUUUUAGUAACGGUCGAUUUCCGCUUAUUUAUAAGAAUCCCUAUUCGGGGGAAGAAAAAUGCACCAUAAUGGAAGGGUGUAAAUUUUUCACUGGGGAGAAUGCAUUACUUUUAAGAAUUGAACGAUUGGAUAAAGCUGAACUAGAGAAGCUAGAGACACCUGAAGAAAAGCAUGCAAAGGAGAACUGAUAGCGAAGCAGAGUUAUGCUAAGGCUGCAUUAGCUCAUUACAAUCAUCAAGAGGAUGUGGAUUUUGAGCUUGUGAAGGUUCUGAAUUGCUCAACGUUUUGUGUUUUGGGCUUAUGGAAUCAUAUCAAUUUUGAGGCCAAACCCAGAAAUUUCAAAUGCUCCCCAAAACUCUUUUUUGCUGAAUUAUAUGGAAAAGCUUUACGUAUCACUUGCUGUUGUAUGCUGAAAUCUAAGGGCUCUGAUGCCAGCGCCCUGAAGGGUUGUUAUUUUUGCGGUUCCUAUGUUCGUCAUCCUGAUAGUGGAUUUCGUGCUGGCGGUGAACGUGGCUUGAGGGUUGGCAAGUAUGGCGGAAUUCCUGUUGAUCGUGGUCCGGUACUUCCUCAAUGGUCUAGUUGAGCUGUAAUCGAAUGAGCACAUCAAUAGCAGCUGCUAAUCGCUAAACUUUCUCCCAUCCGCAGCAUUUAUAAUGGUUUUUGUAUCUCAACUUUACUAUGCAAUGCUUGUUAAUCAUCUCUGAAUCUACAUUGAAAACUAUCACUUUGUAAUGUCCUGUCUAUCUAUAUACGGAUGAUAACGCUAGAAUUUUAUUAAUUUAUAUUUAGUAUUUAAACGUGAAGU